AGUUUGAUCCUGGCUCAAGAACAAACGCUGGCGGCGUGUCUUAAGCAUGCAAGUUGAGCGGCAAGGAGGAGAGAUCCUCCCUAGAGCAGCGGACUGGUGAGUAACGCGUGGGUAAUCUAUCUUAGGCAUGGGGAUAGUCACUAGAAAUAGUGGGUAAUACCGAAUAAGUUCCAUAAGGGGAGGACUUAUGGAAGAAAAGGUGCUACGGCACUGGCCUUAGGUGAGCUCGCGUCCCAUUAGCUAGUUGGUGAGGUAAAGGCCCACCAAGGCGAUGAUGGGUAGCCGGCCUGAGAGGGUGUACGGCCACACUGGGACUGAGAUACGGCCCAGACUCCUACGGGAGGCAGCAGCUAAGAAUAUUCCGCAAUGGACGGAAGUCUGACGGAGCGACGCCGCGUGGAUGAAGAAGGCCGAAAGGUUGUAAAGUUCUUUUGCUAGGGGAGAAUAAGUGUGGGAGGGAAUGCCUGCACGAUGACAAGGACUAGCGAAUAAGUCCCGGCCAAACUACGUGCC
rnacentral:rRNA from 1 species